rnacentral:rRNA from 1 species
GGGCCCGCACAAGCGGUGGAGCAUGUGGUUUAAUUCGAUGCAACGCGAAGAACCUUACCAGGACUUGACAUACUACAAAUUCUUUUGAGAAAAAGAAGUGCCUUCGGGAAUGUAGAUACAGGUGGUGCAUGGCUGUCGUCAGCUCGUGUCGUGAGAUGUUGGGUUAAGUCCCGCAACGAGCGCAACCCUUAUUUUUAGUUACCAAUUCGUUGGGUUCUCUAGAAAGACUGCCGGUGACAACCGGAGAAGGUGAGGAUGACGUCAAGUCAGCAUGCCCUUAUGUCCUGGGCCUACACACGUGCUACAAUGGUUAAGACAAAGAGUUGCGAGCUCGCAAGGGUCAG